rnacentral:rRNA from 1 species
UUCCGGUUGAUCCCGCCGGACCCGACUGCUAUUUGGGUGAGGAUAAGCCAUGCGAGUUGAAUGGGAAACCUAAAGUUCCCAUGGCAAACUGCUCAGUAACACAUGAUCAACUUACCCUAUAGAGAAAAAUAACCUCGGGAAACUGAGGAUAAUGUUUCAUAGUUGAAUUGGCUUGGAAAAGUUUUUCGACGAAAGGGGUAAAAAAAAUGGUUUUUAUCUGCUAUAGGAUAGGAUCGUGUUCGAUUAUGGUUGUUGGUGAGGUAAUGGCUCACCAAGCCGAUAAUCGAUAGGGGCCGUGAGAGCGGGAGCCCCGAGAUGGGUACUGAGACAACGACCCAGGCCUUACGAGGCGCAGCAGGCGCGAAACCUCCGCAAUACACGAAAGUGUGACGGGGUUACCCAAAGUGUUCAAUUUUGAACUGUGGUAGGUGAGUAAUGUUCCCUACUAGAAAGGAGAGGGCAAGGCUGGUGCCAGCCGCCGCGGUAAAACCAGCUCUUCAAGUGGUCGGGAUAAUUAUUGGGCUUAAAGUGUCCGUAGCCGGUUUAGUAAGUUCCUGGUAAAAUCGGGUAGCUUAACUAUCUAUAUGCUAGGAAUACUACUAUACUAGAGGGCGGGAGAGGUCUGAGGUACUGCAGGGGUAGGGGUGAAAUCUUAUAAUCCUUGUUGGACCACCAGUGGCGAAGGCGUCAGACUGGAACGCGCCUGACGGUGAGGGACGAAAGCCAGGGGAGCGAACCGGAUUAGAUACCCGGGUAGUCCUGGCCGUAAACGAUGCAUACUAGGUGAUGGCACGGCCAUGAGCCGUGUCAGUGCCGUAGGGAAACCGUUAAGUGUGCCGCCUGGGAAGUACGGUCGCAAGGCUAAAACUUAAAGGAAUUGGCGGGGGAGCACCACAAGGGUGAAGCCUGCGGUUCAAUUGGAGUCAACGCCGGGAAUCACUAGUGCGGCC